CAAUAUGAGGGGGGUGGCAAAGGCAUUAACUAUAUAUAACAAGUGACAUAUUGGAAGUUGGGCCCCAUCUUUUUGGUUGUGAGGACCUAUUGGCAUUAUAUAAUGUAAAGGGAUUAGCAAAGCAAUUGCAAGUAGAAGUAAUAUGCAAGGGUCUAGUGGUUCUUCGAGUAGUGUUGGUCGGAAAAAAAAUCCAAUUAAAUGCUAUCAUCGCCGGCAAGCUAAUAUCCGCACCGCCAAUGGGGGCCCUAACGCCGGAAGAAAAUUCUAUGGUUGUGCAGCAUGGCCUUCGGAUGAUUGUGGCUUUUUUAUUUGGGAGGACGAUUUACACUCUCAUUUAACGGAUGAACAUAUGAAGAACAAAGAUGCAAUUAUAGAGGAACUUACAGAGGUAAACAGGAAAUUACAAGCUAAGGUGCAUCAAUUGAAGGAAAAAAAAAUUGUUUUGGAGAAGACAAACAAAUAUCAUCAAUUGAAGAUGGAGUCCAUGGCUAGUAGGGAGAAGAUAUUGCUUAUUAGUUGUCUACUAUCAAUGUUAUUGUUGUUUCUUAUGACUCGGGUUUAGAUUAUGGUUGUUAGGAGUCGGGUUCGGUUUAUGCUUUUCUAAUGUACUACUGUUGGGGACCUCGUUAUGUUAUUAUAUGAUAUGAUUCAUAUUACUUCUAUAUGA